GACGAACGCUGGCGGCGUGCCUAACACAUGCAAGUCGAACGAAACGUCCGGGUUUUUGGGCGCACGUCGGCGGAAGGCGUGGUAACCUACACUUGGGUUCCGUAUACCUCCCCGAGAGGGAUGCUAAUGCCACUGAAUCUCUUAGCGCCAAAGAUUUAUUGCCUUUGGAUGGGCGCGCGUUGGAUUAGGGGGUUGGUAGGGUAAUAGCCUACUAACGCGUCGAUGCAUAGCUGGUCUGAGAGGAUGAUUAGUCACACUGGGACUGAGACACGGCCCAGACUCGUACGGGAAGGAGCAGUGGGGAAUACUGGAGAAGGGGCGAAAGCCUGAUACAGCAAUGCCGGGUAAGUGAUGAUGGGCUUAGGGUUGUAAAGCGCUUUUACCCGGGAUGAUAAUGACAGUACCGGGAGAAUAAGCUCCGGCUAACUACGUG
rnacentral:rRNA from 1 species